GGCGGUUAACGACAUGCUCACUUUACUUGGACGUUUUCUAAUCGUCUUCUUUGGAAUAUGCUUUCAAGGUCUGUGAAGCCAAACUUGAUGCUGGGGAUUUAUUUUUGUCAGUGGAGUCAAAUGGUUGAAGCAGAAUUUGCCCGUCUUACAUCUGUUGACCUGAAAGGGUUCCUUUUGCUGUGCUUGACCAUUGUGGAGAGGUUCGUGGAGCUGUACAAAAUCAAGAGCAGCAUAGGAGGGCUAACUAGGCUCAUAAGAUGCUUCAAUGAUGAUAGCCCUACACAAAGGAAGAGGACAGAGGACCUCAUUUUCUAAAGGAAGAUCCCUCACACACUUUCAAGACUGUGAAGCCGACAGGUAUUGAAGACACGUUUUCUAAGAGGACGAAAGUUGGCAUUGCGAUGGUGAAAGAAGAAGACAUCAUCGAUGUGUUGGUUGUCCUUGAGGCGGCAGUAAUCCUGUCUAAUCUGAGGGAUGUCUCAAGUGCCAUUUCCA
ensembl:lncRNA